rnacentral:rRNA from 1 species
CAAUAGCGUAUAUUAAAGUUGUUGCAGUUAAAAAGCUCGUAGUUGGAUUUGUGGUUCGUCCCGCCGGCUGGGUCAUUGACCUUUGCUGUGCUGGUCGUCCAUCCUUGGGUGGAAUCUGUGUGGCAUUAGGUUGUCGCGCAGGGGAUGCCCAUCGUUUACUGUGAAAAAAUUAGAGUGUUCAAAGCAGGCUUAUGCCGUUGAAUAUAUUAGCAUGGAAUAAUGAUAUAGGACCUUGGUACUAUUUUGUUGGUUUGCGCACUGAGGUAAUGAUUAAUAGGGACAGUUGGGGGUAUUCGUAUUCCAUUGUAAGAGGUGAAAUUCUUGGAUUUGUUAAAGACGGACUACUGCGAAAGCAUUUGCCAAGGAUGUUUUCAUUGA